rnacentral:sRNA from 1 species
AGCGGCACGGAUGCCGCUGGUUUUAGUCUGCUACGUGUUUGUCUUGCAAACACGUAGGUAAAAAAUGUGCAGGGAUGUACAUUUUUUACCGUGC